UACGAAGGGGGCUAGCGUUGCUCGGAAUCACUGGGCGUAAAGCGCACGUAGGCGGCUUUUUAAGUCAGAGGUGAAAUCCUGGAGCUCAACUCCAGAACUGCCUUUGAUACUGGAGAGCUUGAGUCCGGGAGAGGUGAGUGGAACUGCGAGUGUAGAGGUGAAAUUCGUAGAUAUUCGCAAGAACACCGGUGGCGAAGGCGGCGACCUGGUCCUUAACUGACGCUGAGGCGCGAAAGCGUGGGGAGCAAACAGG
rnacentral:rRNA from 1 species